rnacentral:rRNA from 1 species
ACAGUCACACAUUAGAUACCCCUGUAGUCCCAGCCGUAAACUAUGCGCGUUAGGUGUAUCGGUGACCACGAGUUACCGAGGUGCCGAAGGGAAACCGUGAAACGUGCCGCCUGGGAAGUACGGUCGCAAGGCUGAAACUUAAAGGAAUUGGCGGGGGAGCACCACAACAGGUGGAGCCUGCGGUUUAAUUGGACUCAACGCCGGGAAGCUCACCGGAUAGGACAGCAGAAUGAUUGCCGGGCUGAAGACCCUGCAUGACUAGCUG